rnacentral:rRNA from 1 species
CUCGUAGGCGGCCAACUAAGUCGGAUGUGAAAUCCCCAGGCUUAACCUGGGAACUGCAUCCGAUACUGGAUGGCUUGAAUCCGGGAGAGGGAUGCAGAAUUCCAGGUGUAGCGGUGAAAUGCGUAGAUAUCUGGAGGAAUACCGGUGGCGAAGGCGGCAUCCUGACCGGCAUUGACGCUGAUGAGCGAAAGCUAGGGAGCAAACG